GACGUAGGGUGCAAGCGUUGUCCGGAUUUAUUGGGCGUAAAGAGCUCGUAGGCGGCUUGUUGCGUCGACUGUGAAAACCCGCGGCUUAACCGCGGGCUUGCAGUCGAUACGGGCAGGCUAGAGUUCGGUAGGGGAGACUGGAAUUCCUGGUGUAGCGGUGAAAUGCGCAGAUAUCAGGAGGAACACCAAUGGCGAAGGCAGCUCGCUGGGACGUGACUGACGCUGAGACGCGAAAGCGUGGGGAGCAAACAGG
rnacentral:rRNA from 1 species